AUUAUUAUUGCGCUUUUUUGUCGACAUUUUUUUCGGAUUAUUUUCAUUUUUAAUUCUCUUUCUUUGCUUUACCUUUGUGGCUUUUUGCCAGUUUCAUUUUGGUUUUAUUGUUAUUCUAUUCUUCAUCUUCAUCAUCACCGUGAAAAUUUAUAUCAUGGAAACAACAACGAAAAGUUUGAUAAACAUACUGGUGAACAUGGUGAUUAUGUUGUAAUUAAUAAGAGAAUUAUCUUCUCUUCCUUUUGAUUUUAGACUGUAAGUUAUGUAUGGAAAUUCAAUGGACCAGUUGAUUGGGGAGAAUUUUUUUUUUCUUCUCUUUAAGAUUCCAAUGGAUGAAGAGACUUGAAAGGCUUUUUUUUCUUCUUUUUUUUCUGUCAAUGCUGUGUGAUUAACAAUGGAAAUUGGAAUCCAUUCCAGGGAAAAUGCUCCAAGGUAAAUUGCUGUUGUCGCCAUUUUCCGCCUUUAUGAUGUCUCCAGAUUGGAUUAUCUGAUUAAUUGAUUUUCAUACCAUUUGAAAUGUUCUCUCAUUGGAUUAACUCAAUUCUACUUGUGUAUUGUACUUAUAAGUUUUUAGUCGUUUCCUUUGCUGAUUUGACUGAAACAAACACACCGACUCUUGAAUCUCCUUCAGGCCAUAAUUUUGCUGUUAAUCCAUUUACCUAAAGGAUUCAAUUGAAAUUCAUUGUCAAGAGAAAACAACAAAAAUGAAAGAGAUACAAACAAGAAAAACAAUGAAUGUCAACAUUAGUGAAACGAUGGAAACUCUCAUUGUCUUAUUUCAAUCAGCUGUUACUUUAUGAUCUCAAUAUCAACAACAAUCAAAUCAAUUGUCUAAUAAUAAUCAUAAUAAUAUAUUGAUAUAUUUAUAUGUUUAUCAUUGAUUAGUUGAUUAUUGUUGAAUUGGUAAAAUAAUGAUAACUUUGAUUUCAUCUAUCUCAUAAUCAGGUUAAGGUGAUGAUCAAAUUGCAUGGUAAUGAACAGAAUCAAAUGAAAUGGAAAUGAAAUUAAACAAUAAUUGAUACAAAAUGAAUUAAGGUAACUAUGGUUGGAAGAUUUUUCUUUUCUCAUCAAAAAGACACACAGAGGAACAAAAAGAGAAAGUGAAAAAUAAGGUUAACAUGGAGAUGAGAAUAGAAAAGUGAAACUAUUGAACCAUCGAUGAUGAUGAUGACAAAGAUUGAAUGUUCAUCAUCAUCAUCAUUGACCUUGUUUGAUAAAAACAUAGGUUUCUAUGGAUUUACAACAAUAAAUAAUAACAACAGGUACCCAACAGUUUUGUUACCUUUUCUCAACAAGUGAUGAGGAUGAUGAUCAGUAAAUAAGUUACUAUGGUAACCAUUUGAUUAUCAUGGUUGGAAUGAAAAAAAAAGAUGAUGAUUUGUGAGGGAGCAAAAAUGUUAGACAAAAGAAUCCAAUGAGAUGAUAGAGAUAAAGGAAAAAUAUUGAUGAUAAUAAUAGAAGAAGCAAAAUCCAAGGUGAUGAGGAUGAAGAUGGAGAGAAAGAUGAAGAUGAAGAUGAAGAUGAUGUGAAUCUAUUGAAACUAUUGGUCAAUGUUUUCCAAAUAAUAACAGUUUGAUUAAUUUUUAAUUCGCUUCAAUGGUAACAAUCAAUUAUUUAUUUAAAUCAUAAGUAAACUUAUUCUCUCUCUCUCUCAUUUGGAGAGCAACAAAAAAAACAUGACAAUGAAUAUGAACAAUUAACAAUAUAAUCAUGUUGAUAUGAACAAGAUGAUGAUGUAAAACAGUGAAAAAAGUAAACAAUAACAUGUGAGAAUCUUAUAUAAUUCAGUCAUCCAUAGUGUUCCAAUAAUAACUUAAUAUGCUUGAAUAACACAUUGAAUAUUUCAUCUUGAUCAUUAUCUCCAUCAUCUCUGAAAGUUCAUAUAAAGACAUUAUCAUACCUAAUUGAUUUGAUUUGAUCAACCCCCAGUGAGUAAACACACUUGAAGUCACAAUCAUCAGCAUCUUAACCAUCAUCAUCAUCAUCAUCUUUACCUUUAUCUUUUUCCAUCAUCAAUUGACCAAAGGUCAGUCUUAUUAUCCUACAAUUGAAAAGCAGAUGACCAUGGCAAACAAUUAAAUUUAAUUGUUACCUUUAAAUUAUCUGCUACCUGAUGUUGUUUAUAUAAAUCAUGAGAGACCAAAUUUAUAACCAUAACCAUUGAAAAUUGUAACAAACAGAAAACAUGAAUGACAAUUGUAAUUACAAUUAACUAAUCAUCAAUGAGGCUCCACCUUGUAAACAAUUUGCAAUAAAUUUUGCAACUUUGUCUUCAUCA